UCCCUCUUAGCUCAGUUGGUAGAGCGCGUCACUAGUAUUCCAAAUCUGAAUCAUAGGGUGGAAUGACGAGGUCAGUCGUUCAAAUCGGCUAGCGGGAA